rnacentral:ncRNA from 1 species
AUUAAAGCUUAGAAGAGGAUUAGUAACUUGUACAGCAUCUCUCAGAGAGCCGGAUGUAGGGUGGAAGCCGGUAGAUGUCAGUCUUGUGAACUCGCCUUGGAGCUAGAAGGUGAAUCGCCAUUUAAAGCGGAGAGACUUUGAGCAAAGCUCGAAGAUCCCAAAGCGGAUUGAACUUUGAACUACGUUCAAAGAUCCCUAUAAAUGGUGCUAGCCGGAUCGUCUCACCCGCGUUAAGGGGCAGAGUGAACACAGGCAAAGAAUGCCCUCGUGUUAACUAGGGUGGUACCACGGGAAUUUAACCUCUCGUCCCUAGC